UACGGAGGGUGCAAGCGUUAAUCGGAAUUACUGGGCGUAAAGCGCACGCAGGUGGCUGAGUCAGUCGAUUGUGAAAGCCCUGGGCUUAACCUGGGAAUUGCAGUCGAUACUACUUAGCUAGAGUAUGGGAGAGGGCAGUGGAAUUCCAGGUGUAGCGGUGAAAUGCGUAGAUAUCUGGAGGAACACCGGUGGCGAAGGCGGUUCUCUGGGCAUUACCUGACGCUGAGGAGCGAAAGUGUGGGGAGCGAACAGG
rnacentral:rRNA from 1 species